UAGGGAAUUUUCCACAAUGGGGGCAACCCUGAUCCAGCCAUGCCGCGUGUGUGAAGAAGGCCUUCGGGUUGUAAAGCACUUUAAGGGGGGAGGAAGGUUCGCUGGUUAAUACCCAGCGGAAUUGACGUUACCCCCAGAAAAAGCACCGGCUAACUACGUGCCAGCAGCCGCGGUAAUACGUAGGGUGCAAGCGUUAUCCGGAAUUAUUGGGCGUAAAGAGCUCGUAGGCGGUUUGUCGCGUCUGCUGUGAAAACCCGAGGCUCAACCUCGGGCCUGCAGUGGGUACGGGCAGACUAGAGUGCGGUAGGGGAGAUUGGAAUUCCUGGUGUAGCGGUGGAAUGCGCAGAUAUCAGGAGGAACACCGAUGGCGAAGGCAGAUCUCUGGGCCGUAACUGACGCUGAGGAGCGAAAGCGUGGGGAGCGAA
rnacentral:rRNA from 1 species